GUGUCAGCAGCCGCGGUAAUACAGAGGGUGCAAGCGUUAAUCGGAUUUACUGGGCGUAAAGGGCGCGUAGGUGGGAUAUUAAGUCGUAUGUGAAAGGCCAAGGCUUAACCAUGGGAAGUCAUAUGAUACUGAUAUUCUAGAGUCGAAGAGAGGGAAGCGGAAUUUCCGGUGUAGCGGUGAAAUGCGUAGAUAUCGGAAGGAACACCUGUAGUGAAGACGGCUUUCUGGAUUCAGACUGACACUGAGGCGCGAAAGCGUGGGUAGCGAACAGGAUUAGAUACCCUGGUAGUCCACGCUGUAAACGAUGAAUACUAGCUGUUGGUGUGCAAGACACAUCGGUAGCGAAGCAAACGCGCUAAGUAUUCCGCCUGGGGAGUACGGCCGCAAGGCUAAA
rnacentral:rRNA from 1 species